CCGGCUGAUGACACUAAGGCGAAUGUGACUCGGUGCCUGCUGACCCUGGCUCCCUGCGGGGUGGGGAUUAGGGAUGGCAUCUGAAAUCUUAGUGGGGGUGCCUGAGGCCUGGCUCUUCACUGUAAGGCCAGAUCAAUAGCACUGCUGGCCUUGCCUCCAUUUCCGCUGCUGUCCCCAGUUCCUGGCAGCUGCGUGCAGGGGGGCCCACAGGUGGGGACCAAAGUAGGGUGAGGCACGAGCCAUCUGAGCACAACCUUGGAUCUGACA